CAACGGGCCGCAGGAAGAGGCCCACGGAGUCAGCGGAGGGAGAGGGACGGAAGGCGGCGCAUGCAGAUGGAACCCUGGUCUCCAAGGCAACAAGCGACGGGGAAGCUCAGUUUUUGAUAAUCAGCACCGGAGUCUCCUCUCAGCUCCUCCCUGGGCACAGCGCAGUGAAAAGAGCGUGAGCUUUGGACUCACAUGGGCCUGGAACAGAACUGCGAUCAUGGAUAGUAAUCCCUCUGAGCCUCAGUUUCCUCAUCUAUGAAAUGGGAGCAGUGAUGGCAACUUCACACAAGUGUGGGCAGAGGGGUUGAGAUGACUCGUACAGCCUGCUGACCACAGCAGAGCAUGAUGCUGUCACCUUUCUACUGUUCGACUUCAAAAUUGCAACUGUUCUACAUCAGUAAGAACAAAGGUGGGAGGAAAAGCCUGGAGAAAAUCCCUUGGCCGGCUGUUGGAUAGCUGUGCCGGGGCCCAAGAACUCUACCUCGUGGCAUCUGAGCAGGCAGGUUUGGUCCAGAGGGUAUGCUGCUGCUGAUUUAGUUCCUCGUGGACAAUAUCCAGCACAGAACUUAGAGGCAGAGACUCCUCAGACCAAUUAGCCAAAUCAGCCAAUUCCUCUCAGAAAAACGCCUGACUUCAUUUUUGAACUCGAAUAAGUUUCCUUGCAUCCCUGUGACAACUGUCUCACUUCUGAAUCCCGAUUCUUGCAGAGAAUCAUAAGACCUUCAUCUGACCUUGUCACCUGGGUGAAGUAAGAAGAGUGUGCGCUUGGAGGACAAACCCUCCCGAGGUGAAGCUGCCCUGACGCCUGCAGGCUGCAGGCUCCUGUCCCACACAGAUUCCCUGCCCUGAGCUUCUGAAGAUGGGACCGGCCUCAGCACAGCAUGUGGAACCUUAGAUCCCUGACUAGGGAUCGAACCUGUGCCCCCUGCAUUGGAAGCGUGGAAUCUUAGCCACUGGACCGCCAGGGAAGUCCCUCAAAAAAUUUUCAAAAAGAAAUGCUCUGUAAAAUGGAGAUAAUAUACACACCACAUAGAAUUGGGCUGUAGAUGAAUUGUCACAAUGACCAUGAGGCAUUUGGCCAGAGUCUUGUUUAUACAACUCUGAUUUCAUCUAAUUCAGCUUGUCAUUUUAUAGACGGAGGACCUGAGGCCUGGGGAAACUUCCUUGUCUAUGUCAGAAAGCUGCUGUGAGCUGACCGGGUCCUGGGCUGACACCCAAUUUAGAAUCCCUUCUACUUUACAUGCUUCCAACACCCACAGCCAGCGUAAAUCAGCCCAUUUUGACUUAACCCUUUAAACUCCAGAAAGCGCUGAGGGAGAUAAGAUUUCUCGAAGACUUCUGGUAUGUGUGUCACAGAAGUUGCUUGAGGCUGCUGGACGACUCACAUGGAAGCUUUGGUUUCCUCCUGAACCUUCUGCCUUCCUGUUGGUUACAAGCUGCUUUCACAUCAGCCUGAGGCCUGAUUGGAGAAGUGCUGGCUUAGGGGUAUGACACAUGCUUGAAACACGUAUCAGGGUCCUUCUGGAAGGAGAAUUGGGAAGAAGGUGGUAAAGGCUUAUAAGAUGGGUGAUAUUUUAAAAAAAAGAAGCUAUGGAGCCUUCUCUCUUUUACCCCAAGUUUCUAGAAAUCUCACCUACAAUGGAUAUUUAUUUUGGCCUUUCUCAGAAUCAUUCAAGCCCAUUUUAUAUCAGAAUUUAGAGGAGCUGGCUAAGGGGAGAAUAUUAAUUGUGAAAGCAUGGGGAUGACUGGCCGGGUCCAUCUUGCUGGAAUUUCCACCAGGGGCUCAGUAACUGACAAGCAGAGGUAGAUCACUCAAUUCAUAUGCUAUUAAAACUUUGCAUAAUAACGCAUAAAUCUUACAAAUUUUCUUUACCUUAAAGCCAUUAAACACAUUGAUGAUAUAAAUGUAUUUUUCCUAAAUAUAAUUAGAAUACUUUAUUACUAAUAUAUUCUCCUAAAUUCACUCCCUUAAAAGUGGUUCAUCUUUCUCCCUGUUAAUUGAAUUUGACUAUUUUCACAGCUUUAUAUCCUUUCUACUCUAGUUUAUAUUUAGCUGCUAUUUUAAAAGUUCCUUUAUCCCUGUAUGUUAGUUAUUUCUUCUUUCUUUCUUCUUUCCCCUAGUACUGUUUUAGAUUUAAAAACAUACAUUUUGGGGGGAUUGGAGAAGGAAGGCUGAAAAGUGUACUUGUUCAGCCAGACUUAUCCAACCAUGGGCAUUUAUUCUUCACAGCGUUCCAUCCUGUCUUUUGAGGUGUGUGUGUGUGUGUGUGUGUGUGUGUGUGUGUGUGUGUGUAUUUAUAAUUUUGCAUAUUCUGCUUUUGGUUUUCGACUGUCAGCUGAGGCCUCCCUGCCUCUUUUGAGAUUGGGCACAAUGAGCGGGAACUUUCCAACCCCAUUGCCUAUGGAUUUCCAAAGUUCUCCCCAACAUCUCUCUGAACUUCUGGGGAGCGGGCAGCUGUUAAGGCCUCUUCUGCUUCUGGGAAUUCCCUGGUGGUCCCGUGGUUAGGACUCGGCGCUUUUACCGCUGUGGGUUCUGGUUCAAUCCCUGGUCAGGGAACUAAGAUCCCACAAGCCAUGCGGCGAGGCCAAAAGGGGGAAAAAAAAAGGCCUCUUGUGCUUCUUGGCUACUCCUUUCCUUCCUGUAACUUUGUCUCCAUUUACAGCCCAUAAAACGCUGUCUGUUCUAUGAUCAAAUAGACCAAAACCUCCAGUUAUAAAGGUAAGCAGGGAAGACCCUCUAAGAAUGCAUCCAUGUUGAAAUGAGUCCCCGACAGCGAUCAGAGCUUCCUAGCAUCGUGCUGUUGAUAUUGAGUCAUGUGGGCGAGAAAAAAAAAAUGUUCCUAUCAUUUAUUGAAACUGUGUGUACUUAUUGAGCUCCUGCCAGCCACUCUCGCUAGGUAUCGUAGAAAGCCCAGAGACCCCCUAGUAAAGAGGACUGUGAGCAGCAAAUAUUUUGAGGCAGAACGUUGAACUAAAACAAGGGGUGCGCAGACCAUCAAGAUGGGAAACUGAACCCCCGUGGCUCCGUUUCUUUCCUGUCCUAAAACUGACAGGAAAGGUGUACUAUCACCAACUACGGAAAUUCCUAACAGGACUGCAAAUUAAAGAGAUGACUUCGGUUAACUAGAAAUUAUUAGGAAUUUCUAAAAGACAUUUGAUAGAGAGAAGCAAAGUAAAGUGAGAAGCCAGACCCCCCAACAUUCCGAGGAGUGGUCUACAACCAAGUAAAGAUGGUACCGGCAGUAGAAGUGGCAGCCGGCACAAGGAGUGGGUCCUGAGCCCCCAUCUGGCGAUUUUACAUCCACGGGUGUGUGUGAAUGCGCCAGGAGGGGUCUGGGAUUGGGUGGGCUUGUCAAGUGGGAUUUAAGCUAUACCUUCCUUUUAAAAAAUGUUUAUUUUACAUUGCAAACUUAAACAUAUAAUUGCUCAUUUUAAGGGGGAAAUUUUCUCUUGGUUUUUAAAAAAGAAGCAAUCACAUUCAGUUAAAGGGAUUCAGGACAAGCUUCACACUGGAGGCAGGAUUCUCCCUACGACUUGAAGCAGAGAUGACAGAAAGAGCAUGCAGGAGCUGGUGGGGAGUGACGAGCUCGUCAGGAUGUGGUGAGCAAGCCGGGAGCUAGAUGUGUGAGGGGGCAGGGCUGCAACGGAGGCUGAGGAGGACUGGGGGGCCAGAUUUGGUCAUGCUUAUUGUACUCUGUGCAUGAAGCAGAGUGGGAUAUUUUUGAGCAGGGCAGUUACAAUGUAUGACUUCUACUGUGGUACAGGUGUGUGUCCCAGGGGGGUGCGAACCGAAGCAAAACUCUAACUGGGAGCUAGUAAAAGGCUAAUGCGGACAAUUGGCUCAAAUUCCCUAAUGCCUCGCUCCCCACAGUGCCAACAGGAAUAGGGAAGGAGGAGAGGCAUUUGCAGUCGACUCUGAUAGUAUUUGCCCUGGGAUGGAGGAAGAGAGCGGAGAAUGGAGAGAGGAAGGAUGGAGACACACAGCAUGGUCCAAUCCUGCAGUUGCAUCUGGGAGGUGAAGGCAGACAUGUCCCUGAAUUUAAUUACCGGACAGUGGGAGGUGACCUGUGACAGAGCAAUUCCAGCAGGUGGUGGGGGUCAGGGUGCAGAGCUGGGGGAAGAGUGGGUGCUGCGAGGGCUCCUCGGGUGGUUGCAUUGUUUAGCACCUUGGUAGUGAUGGGGAGGAGAGAGAGGCCACUAGAGAGGAAAGCUGUUUUAGGAAUAAUCUCCUUUCUGAAAGACCCUUGACCUAACCCACUCUUCUAGCUUUCUUCUUGUCUCACUGUCCACGCCACUGCUUUCAGAAAAGAUCGAAGGCUGGGAGAGGCAGUUGGAGGGCUGGAGUGACAUUGUACAUGUUCCCAAAUCUGACUCCCUAGGUUACAAUCUGCUCCUUGAACAAUUGUCAGCCGCGAUGGGACCAGAGAUGCCGAGAUGAUGGGAUGGACGGGAUGGGAUUCUGCAUUCUCAGACUUCCUGCUUCCUCCUCCCCGGGACCCCUGCUCUGAAAAAUCAUCCUUGGCAUCACGUGCCGGAUGCAAGGAGAGGACCACCCAUCGUGUGAUGCAAGACAGACCACCCAUCGUCACCUGACGCAGAGACAGAAUCAUGACGCAGAGAAAGAGAAUUACUUGUAAACCUAUACGUGGAUGGGAAGGUCAUCAAGACCCGAGGCUACUCCAGGGACCAGUCUUCCCUCGUUGUGAGAGUGAGGCUGGACCACAUUUGGAGGACAAGAGGUCCCCUCCAUCCCAGCCAUCCCAGAUGGGUGAGCAAGGCCCUCCUAGAUCACCUGGCACUGCUGAGCCAGCCCCAAACAGAAGAACCGACUGGCCCAUUGCAGAAUUGUGAGAGGCAACAGGGCUUCCCUGGUGGCGCAGCGGUUGGGAGUCCGCCUGCC